UUCAUAUUAUAGUAACCAACAUAUUCAAUACUUUCAAAUGAAGAUGCCAAUUAUUUUUCUUCAUUUGAAAGUAUUGAAUAUGUUGGUUACUAUAAUAUGAA
rfam:Arabidopsis thaliana chromosome 1, complete sequence.